AAACCUCCCGCAACGACGUUAAAAAACUGCGCGGUCUGCGCCCUAUUGGCGUGGGCAACACCGUUUAAGUGCUGAGAAUGCCCGGCGAGAGCCCCGCACAACCAGCAGCCAGCAGUUACUGCCUGGUCCACASAUCAAUCGACGGUGACCGUUAUCGGUUAAGUUAUGACCGGUCCAGAGRCCCAACGGGCCCUGGAGCCAUGGAACC
rnacentral:rRNA from 1 species